GUUGAAGAACGCAGCGAAAUGCGAUAAGUAAUGUGAAUUGCAGAAUUCAGUGAAUCAUCGAAUCUUUGAACGCACAUUGCGCCCGCCAGUAUUCUGGCGGGCAUGCCUGUUCGAGCGUCAUUUCAACCAUCAAGCCCCCGGCUUGUGUUGGGGACCUGCGGCUGCCGCAGGCCCUGAAAACCAGUGGCGGGCUCGCUAGUCACUCCGAGCGUAGUAGUUACAUCUCGCUCAGGGCGUGCUGCGGGUUCCGGCCGUUAAAAGCCUUAUUUACCCAAGGUUGACCUCGGAUCAGGUAGGAAGACCCGCUGAACUUAAGCAUAUCAAUAAGCGGAGGA
rnacentral:misc_RNA from 1 species